rnacentral:rRNA from 1 species
UAGGGAAUCUUCCACAAUGGACGAAAGUCUGAUGGAGCAACGCCGCGUGAGUGAUGAAGGUCUUCGGAUUGUAAAGCUCUGUUGCCAGGGAAGAAUGCUUAGGAGAGUAACUGCUCCUAAGGUGACGGUACCUGAGAAGAAAGCCCCGGCUAACUACGUGCCAGCAGCCGCGGUAAUACGUAGGGGGCAAGCGUUGUCCGGAAUUAUUGGGCGUAAAGCGCGCGCAGGCGGUUCAUUAAGUCUGGUGUUUAAGGCUGUGGCUCAACCACAGUUCGCACUGGAAACUGGUGAACUUGAGUGUAGGAGAGGAAAGUGGAAUUCCACGUGUAGCGGUGAAAUGCGUAGAGAUGUGGAGGAACACCAGUGGCGAAGGCGACUUUCUGGCCUAUAACUGACGCUGAGGCGCGAAAGCGUGGGGAGCAAACAG